rfam:Triticum aestivum genome assembly, contig: Triticum_aestivum_CS42_TGACv1_scaffold_621924_7DS
ACGACCUUACUUGAACAGGAUCUGUUCUAUAGGCUCGUACCGCUGCAUCCUUUACCAAUAAGGAGGCAAGCACUUCAGUCUGGUUGAUGCAUUCUCACCUCUGGGCUAGAGCGUGAUUAACGGCCUGGAUACUCCUGAUGGGAGCUAUACAACGGCUGUAGAGGAUCGUUCCUGCCUGGCUCACACUGGUGCAGGGUGGCUCAGAGGUUGUCUGACAGACU